GAGAAAGGACGUGCCUUUCCCCCUCGCCUUUUCCCUGUGGCUGGAAGGAGGAUGUGAGGUCGGGGCGUCAUGCACCCCGAGACCAGGGCCACGCCCUGGGGAGGGAGGACACCAGGGAGCCGCAGCCCCAGGCUGACAAGCGUGUCGUGACGGCUCCCUGCGUGGAGCCGUGGAAACACCCGCGCACGGGCUGGGAGCAGAGUGAGCUCCCUGUGAGCGGACGGGGGGCCCAGGGCAGUGGUCCCCACCCAGGCGGUUUAGCACCCGGGGGACACUGAGUAAUGUCUGGAGACGGUUUUGAUCGUCGCGACUGGGAAUGGGGACCCGCUCCUGGCACAGAGUGGGCAGAGGCCAGGGAUGCUGCUGAGCAUCCUACAGAGCCCAGGACAGCCGCCAGCAGAGAAUUAGCUAUCCGGCCCCAAAUGUCCGCUGUGCCGGGUCGAGGAGCCGGGUCUGAUGGGGUGACGUCCACCGCCCAGCUCGCGCUCGGGGGAGCGAUGGGGGCACAGGCCGGUUGGCGGGAGGGGGGCUUUGCAUCGGGGCGACCUGUGACCUCUGCACCUUCCCCCAGCUCCGCCGGCUCCCAGGCGGCCGAGACGUGUUCCAACAGCUCUGCCUCCCCCGCACGCCCGCUGCCAGCCAGGCGCGUUUCCGGGGGGUGGGCGGAGGGCGCGGUGCCACCCGAACGCAGGCCAGCUUUCCCGGGGGCGCAGGGGGGCCUGCCCGACGAGAGAGGGCCCAACGCCGUCCAGGGCUCGUGCAUCCUUGAGGAAACGGCCUCCUGAAGAAAAAUCCGAAUCUCCCCUCCCCGAUUUCCCAGGAUGUGGUGAGCCCCCACCUUCUGGGAUGGCAGGGCAGGCUUCUAGAACCUUCCAUCCCAGCCACACAGAAACCCAGAGACCGGAGCAAAAUCUAACCCCCUGAGGAACUCUGGGCAUUUGCUGAAAAUUCGAGAAGUAGUGCCCACGCUGUCUGUUCAGAGGCGUUUCUCGGUGAGCAGUCAUUCAUUGACUUGAACACCCGCUGCACCCAGCGGCUCGCCCACCCCGGCCUUCCCAUUGCCACCUGGGCCUCUUUGCUGAGGGCUCCCUCUGGCCACCGGCGUCCGUGGAACCCCCGAAGGACAAGCCUGAAGCGCCCAAGAAGUGGUGCCUCGGCAGCAGGGCUCAGCCAGUGACGUGACUUUUCUGCAUACUUUCGCACCUACCAUGUGCCAGGCUCAUGAGUACACAGGGAGCAACGGAGGCCCAUUGCUGUCCCCCUGGAGGUUCCAGUCUGGAGGGGAAGACAGACAACAACCGACGAGCUGGGCAGGUGUUCAUUCCCGACGAUGGGGUUGCCCCACAGAGCCUCGUGGUGCAUCACACGGUGGACACUCAUUUCCUACAGUGCCCCUCAGAUGCCGCGUGGAAACACAUGUGGCACACACCUGCACACACAGGCACACGCACAACAUACGAAGACUUCCCGGAAUUGCCCGUGGAAAGGAGGGGAAAAGGACAUUCAGUACAGCUGCUUUUGAUUUUUAACAAUUUAAUUAAUCCUCCUCCACCAAUGUGGUCCCCAUGGGCGCAGGGCCGCGGUUUCCUGAGCUCAGGAAAGACUGAAACGAGGCUGCACGGUCCGUGUGACAACGGACGCGCCCGUGUACCUCCCCCCGCCUCCCCGCUCGUUUGACGAGGCCAGGCCCGUCACCUCACGGCUUCCGUACUGAGUGCUGGGAAGGGCCCAGCUUUUAUCUCCUGGCCUGUGGGUGUGGGACUCCCCAAGGCCACAAGAAGGCUCCAGCGGGGUGCUCGGCCCCGCCCCUGUGCAGCCCCAGCAGAACUGAUCCCACUCCACGACCGCUCUCGCCCAAGCGUCGUCACCAGCAGCUGCAGAAGGCGCUUUCCUCCUGCUCGCCAGGGCCUGCAGGACAGUCGGCCCGCGGGGGGCGUGGGGUUGAAGAUGCUGCCCUUCCCUGGGAGCCGCAGCCGGCAGUGACCAGAGGACGCGGAGACCUGAGGUUCCUGAUGGUCCUCUGUCCCCAGAGAGGAGGAGUCCUCGGCCUCCAGUACACGCUCAGGCCCUCGGACAGAGGGAUCGUAACCCACGGACUGCGUAGACGUGCUGGAGGAGACACAGGAGCGCGAGCCCACCCAGAGACCGAGGCGGGCGAGGCGUAGAGAAACCACGUGUUGCUGGACAGCAACUGACUCUUGUCUCAAGGUCAAGCAGACGGCAGGGAGGGGUGGAGACUGGGGCACGCUGGUGAGUGGAUGUCCCAUCUACAGGGACAGUGCCGCUCAGUGCCAUCUGAUUCCCGCCGAUGAAGACUGCAGGCCCAAGGCCGCCAGACUGUUCCCUUUUGUGUCAGAGAAGACAGAAGUUCAGACUUUUAUAUGAAAUCUCCCACUUUCUAAAGGUUGGCAGUCAAUUUAAUUUCUGUGCGUGUGUGUGUAUUAUUUUUUAACACUGUUAAGAAUGAUCAAAAUACACAUCCAUAGUUGGGACCGGCAGUUUGUGACAUCUAUGUCACAGAGCCUUGAGAAGGAUGGAGUCCAACCAUGGCCUAUUGGUCCAGCUUAUGCAAUGACUAAAUGUUUGUCGACUGACUAAGUGACUGGCAGUGGGCUCAUUGAAAAUCUCCAAAACACGACCAUCAUUCCAACAAUCCUUAUGUUUAUUCCAAUGCAAUUUUAUUUUUCCCAAUCACCCUGUCCCUCCAGUGCCUUUGCAUUUCUGUGACUACUCACGUUAACAAGUUGUUGAACUCAUUAAACGCCUACUGUGUGCUAGGCUCUGGGAAA